UACGAAGGGGGCUAGCGUUGCUCGGAAUCACUGGGCGUAAAGCGCACGUAGGCGGGUCUUUUAAGUCAGGGGUGAAAUCCUGGAGCUCAACUCCAGAACUGCCUUUGAUACUGAGGAUCUCGAGUCCGGGAGAGGUGAGUGGAACUCCGAGUGUAGAGGUGAAAUUCGAUAGAUAUUGGAAGAACACCAGUGGCGAAGGACGGCUGCACUGGCC
rnacentral:rRNA from 1 species